rnacentral:rRNA from 1 species
GUGCCAGCAGCCGCGGUAAUACGGGGGGGGCGAGCGUUGUUCGGAAUUACUGGGCGUAAAGGGCUCGUAGGUGGCCUCCUAAGUCAGACGUGAAAUCCCUCGGCUCAACCGGGGAACUGCGUCUGAGACUGGGAGGCUUGAAUCCGGGAGAGGGACGUGGAAUUCCAGGUGUAGCGGUGAAAUGCGUAGAUAUCUGGAGGAACACCGGUGGCGAAGGCGGCGUCCUGGACCGGUAUUGACACUGAGGAGCGAAAGCCAGGGGAGCAAACGGGAUUAGAAACCCGGGUAGUCC